rnacentral:misc_RNA from 1 species
AUUCUUCCCUGAGACCAUGAAGACUGUGCUCGUGUUCUGUAUUUCGUGCCUUGUAUCAGAUUUCUUCAGCGUCUGUUCAUCACACGAAUCUGGACGGCAAGAAAAAUCCCGGCUCCUUUCCCGACUGCUGGGUUUGAUCAGAGAAUAUGAGGACAAAAGGACUAUUGAGGACGCGGGGUCGCAGCAGUCCGUGAGUCAGGGGUCAGGCAACUUCCAACUUCCGGAUGGGUUUACCUGGGAAGAGUGGGAGUUAAUGGAGAAAGACGGACAGGGACACGGGCAGGAUAUAGACAGCUGGGAUGGGAAUCAAGACUCUGCUGUUGGUGUGUUGGUGGACAGCUUUGUGGUGUAUGACAAAAACGGAACAGGACACAGGCCGAAAGGUUACGAGCCAUGGAAUCACGCAGCAGCAAAGGCCAACAACUUUGACCAUCAUAAGCCGCCCCCUCCCACCAAACGAAAUUAUGAGAUUGGAAUUACACUUUGGCACAAUACUAUUCCGUACGAAAUCGCUCCUAACUUAGGUGAUGAAAUGAUUUCUAUCAUCAAAGAAUCAAUGAAACAGCUACAAGAACUAACCUGUUUAAAAUUCAUACCGGCCGGACUAGAUGACGCAGAUCUCAUGUAUUUUGCCAAUGUUGGGGACGGUUGUUAUUCGUAUGUCGGUCGACAAGGCGGAAAACAAGUUGUCAACCUAGAUCCCAACCAAUGCGCAACUGUGUCAACUGCGCUACAUGAAAUUAUGCACGCUUUAGGAAUGUGGCACGAACAACAAAGAGUCGAUAGGGAUAAUUAUAUCAAAAUUUUGAAGGAGAAUAUUGAAAACCCAGAGGACAAUAUGGUCAACUAUGAGAAACACAACACCGCCAACGAACUACCAUAUGACGUCGAGUCGGUUUUGCAAUACGAUUUACGCGCUUUAACGAAGAAUAAUUUACCAACAAUGGAGCUGUUUGACACAAGUUUAGAGUUUCUCAUUAAUUCUGCGCAAACAAUGACGUUUUAUGACGUGGCUGAAAUCACUAAAAACCAACAGUGCACAGAUCAUUGUCCAGCAGUAGGAUGUGAAAAUGGCGGGUUUCAGACAUUUAAGUGCAAUUGUAUGUGUCCAUCAGGCUUGAGCGGUCCAUCGUGUGAAAAUCUCGACUCUUCAAAUGGAUGUGGAGAAAUAAUAACUCUUAAUGCUGGAGAACAAAGGGAAAUCACUUCUCCAUCUUGGCCUAAUAUGUACAAUCUUGACAUGGAGUGUGUUUGGCUUAUAAAAUCAAAGGAAACCAAACACUGUCCUAAGAUUCAAAGUUGAAAAUUUGAAACUCUCGCGCUCUAAUACUGAUGAUCGGUGUUACCAUUGGCUGGAGAUAAGAUACAAUUUGAUUGGCCAAACAGGCCCAAGGCUAUGUGGGGAGGUAGGAUAUGAAGAGUAUUUGACACCCUCGUCUGAUUCCAUCAGCAAAGCGAUGUUAAAAUUUAACAGUAGAUUUUCUAAAGACAAGCCGGCGUCCCUCGGAUUCAAAAUUCGAGUAGAAGCAUUGAAAGCUGGACAGGAUUUGUGUACACCAAACCCAUGUCAUAAUUCCGGGCUCUGUGUCAAUACUGGACAUGCUUUCUUAUGCAAAUGUCCCAACGAGUAUACCGGGGCGGUUUGCGAUAUCAAAAUAAGACCAUGCGAGAAGGCUCCUUGUCGGAAUAAUGGCGAUUGCACGAAUGUAGGAGAAUCGGCGUACACAUGUCAAUGCAAGCCAGGGUUCCACGGCACGAACUGUGAUAGUAAAACAACCGAAACAUGUGAGCCGAAUCCUUGCCAUAAUGGAGGAUCUUGCUUUAUCGAAGGAACAGACGCUUUUGAAUGUUUUUGCGAUUUUGAUUUCACCGGACGGAGAUGCGAAAACAAGCUGCAAUCGUUUUGUGAUUCCUCUCCCUGUUUUAAUGGAGGGCAGUGCAUUCCUGGGACGGAGGUCUGCUACUGUACAGAUAAUUGGACCGGAAAGUUGUGUGAUACCCCAAAGGGAGAGCUGGGAUUACUUGACAAAAACAACUGCACCUUUAAUAAGAACUCGGAGUGUGUAUUUCAACGAUCACAAGGACAAGUACAUGAUCAUCGACCAUGGGACUUUAUUGAAAACUCUUACCUAACAACUGAUUCUGAUGGAUUCAUCUUCCUUCAACAAAACAAACUUCAGCUUGAAGAUGGCCAGGAAUAUUGUCUUUCAUUGGACGUCUACUCUGACAGUGACAGCAACACUCUGUAUGCGUUCUUGCCUUCAAACUCUGCGGGCGAUAUAAUAGACCUCUAUGGCUCUACAGGGGGGAACAUGAUCAGGCGGAUGGGGUCAUUUUUUGGCCUCAAGUCAACUCGUAUAGUUGUAAGUGGCUCUGUUCAACAACCAGAGAUGCAGGUGCUUGCUGUGGACAACAUUGCUUUAAGAAGAGGAUCAUGCCAAUAACUGUAUCUUCAGCUCUUUUAUUUGUUACAUGACUGCUUUCAUACAAUGCUUAAUCACAACCAUAAUAUGUGUAAACUACGAUAUGUAAAUUUUGUAAAAUUACCGUCCAUUUUUUUCAUCGUUAGUUUUUUGUCUAAAAUACAUUAAAAUUGGUUGUUGACG